GUGUGUAUGUCUUUGUAUUCUCUAUGUUUGUCUAUGUUUUCCCUUUCUUUAAGUAAUUAAUGUCUAGCUUUAUGUAUAGCUUUAUGUCCAUUUACCCCGCCGUCCAUCGCAUCCAGCCGCCUGACUCUGCCGCUCGCCUGGGGACCCUGACUCCCCGGCUGCAUGGCGCUGCCACUUGCAGCUGCUCCGCGAGCUGCCCGGGACAUCCCACCAUGGUAUUAUUUUUUAAAAAAGAACAAUACCCAUGAUUCAUGAUCCCACUGACUGUAAGGGGCAAGAAAGAUACUUUUACAGUGAUAUUGAUUACUGCAGAUUCACAGUUUUGAAACAGGGACAUAGAGGUUUCUGUGACAACCCCUACCACCACUCUGCCACCCCCAAAACAUAACAGCAAAGUAAAAAAGAAUAAAAACGUGUAGCUCUCCAAAAUUGAUGACAUCUGGUGGGGUGCAGGUGGAAAAGGUCCCAGUGUCCUUUAAGGGGAUGGCCACUGAGAGUUUGACCAUGCUCCAGUGAGUACAUGGGCAACAGAAAAUGGACUCAUAUUUUUUCCUUUCCUUAUUUUUCUUUGUUCGUUCCUUCCUUCCUCCCCCUUUUUUCCUUUCUUUCUUCUUCUUCUUUUUUGUUGGGAGAGGUUAGAAGGGUGGGGGGAUAUUCAUGCAGGGACUAGGAAGUCAGUGUGAUUGAGAUGCAUUAUGGAAAUUCCCAAAUAAGCAAUACAAAUAUUAUGCUGGAAAAAUAAAAAAGAAACACAUUUGAGGAGUCAAGAGCCAAAGAUUGUGGUUUUUAAUUUUGCAAUGUUUCCCCUGGAGGACACAAAAUGUUAAAUAAAACAUUUUAUAAUAUAAGAAAGUGUAGUGAGCUGCUUUGUACCGCACCUUAAAGAUGGCACUGACUGCUGCUCUCCACCCCCUGGGUGGAAUGUGCUUUCAACUGUAAACAACUCCAUACAUGGCAAAAACUAAGAAUCUGGCUUAUUUCUGUGUACCUGGACCUAUCCGUAUUCCCCACGUGGCUUGCUGGAGUUGGCUACACAGGGGCUAUUUUAGAUGUGGGCUGGCUUUCCCCAGAAGAGAAGAUUAUUCAAGGUUUCCUGAUUAAACUGCAAUUGAGAAGAGUCUGGUGUUGCGUUUUCUUUGCUGGCCAAAGUCCGCCACAGUUGGUGCCGAACCCCGGGAGGCGCUUAUCAAGGACCCAGAACUCAUUGCAGUCAGGGCAGUGCACUGGAAUCGUCCUCAGGUAACAGGACUGGAGAAUUUGGUGCCAUGAUGGAACAGCUGAGGGUGGCCAUCGUUGAAGUGAACUCUACCCAAGUUGGAUGCUGGCAUGGUUGUCCUGGAUUUCUGCAGCCAUAAAUCAUCUGAAGGAGUGGGCAGGUUUGGGAGCGUUAGCUGGCCUUCUGGUGUUGGUCUCUCUAGCCUGCCUGUGGUGUAUCUGUCGGAUUAGGGACACUCAGCAUCGCAGUACAGCCAUGAUUAUACAAGCAUUCAUGGUUAUAGAGGCUGGCCAAUCCCCCCAAGCAAGGUUAGCCGCUAUGAAACAAUAAUUUGACGCAUCCAGGGUGCGAGGCAAGGCACUGCACUCAAGGGCGGCCUUUUGCUAACCUUGAGAAGAGCACACCUAGCUGCAUGUGGGUUGAUGCCCUAGUUACCACCUCUGAAAAAUGUCAUCGGGCUAGUCUGGCACUCUUUAAGUGGAAGACACCUAAGGAGGAUCAGUACAAGGCUCUUGUUUUUACAGAGAGCAGGCCUCUACUCUUACCUGUGGCCUCUAAAACAAAAAGGGGGAGAUGUAGUGAGCUGCUUUGUGCCGCACCUUAAAGAUGGCACUGACUGCUGCUCUCCACCCCCUGGGUGGGAUGUGCUUUCAACUGUAAACAACUCCAUACAUGGCAAAAACUAAGAAUCUGGCUUGUUUCUGUGUACCUGGGCCUAUCCGUAUUCAACACGUGGCUUGUUGGAGUUGGCUACACAGGGGCUAUUUUAGAUGUGGGCUGGCUUUCCCCAGAAGAGAAGAUUAUUCAAGGUUUCCUGAUUAAACUGCAAUUGAGAAGAGUCCGGUGUUGUGUUUUCUUUGCUGGCCAAAAUCCACCACAAGAAAGGACAGGCAGGAGAAUGCAGCCAGCCCUCCACUCCACAACAAAGAAGCAAGUGCCCUUUGCUCUCUGUGGUGACUAUUGGUAUUGAUUCACACUGCCAAAAACAUUUUAUUGACAGGGAAGCCACAGCUGGACAAUUGACACAAAAAAACUUGUCACUAAUAUAUUUUUACAGUAAAAAAAGGCUGUGAAUGUACCAGUAUGUGAUUGAAGCAACCAAACACUUGACCACUUUCCAGGUGACAUGUCCUUCGGAGGAGCCAAGUUGAGAACCUCAGGUAUGGGGACUGUGUCAGUGUGGAUUUGCUGCUGGACACAGAGUCUGUACUGUCACAGCUUGUUUCUCAGAGCAUCCUAACCACAUCAGCAGAAGGCCUGGGUUACCUAGAGCACUCAGUGACCUUGCGUUCCAACAAGCAGCCAGAAGAAAGGAAUGUGACUUCUUUUUUAUAUACCAAUAAUUCAUGAAAUGAAAUUCAGUAUACCUAAAUAUAUUUCAGUGUUAUUGAUCUUUUAAGAAACUCAGACUUAAAUUUAUAUUUACAAAUUGA